rnacentral:snoRNA from 1 species
GUGCAGCCGAUCAGAUUCCUUUCCUCAGGAGAGCCUAAUGUGCAGCGCUCCGAGGUUGCUGCCAGUUCUUGGUAAUGUGUGCCGCCUGCUGCUGUAUGUGUUGCCCUAAGGGACCCUGGAGAUUUUU